GACGAACGCUGGCGGCGUGGAUUAGGCAUGCAAGUCGAACGGUAGGAUACCUUCGGGUAUCUGAGAGUGGCGAACGGGUGAGUAACACGUAGGUGAUCUACCCUCAAGAUUGGGACAACCCAGGGAAACUUGGGCUAAUACCGGAUGAAAGCAGCAGUGAUGUUGUUUGAAAGGUGGCGUAAGCUGCCGUUUGGGGAUGAGCCUGCGCUCUAUUAGUUAGUUGGCGGGGUAAAGGCCCACCAAGGCGAUGAUAGAUAGGCGGCCUUAACGGGUGGUCGCCCACACUGGGAUUGAGAUACGGCCCAGACUCCUACGGGAGGCAGCAGUCGAGAAUAGUCUACAAUGGCCGAAAGGCUGAUAGUGCGACGCCGCGUGAACGAAGAAGCCUCGGGUGUAAGUCUUUUAUAUGUGAGCAGUGCUUUCUAUGUGAACAGCAUGGGGAGAGAGAUAUUAGCAUAUGAAUAAGCAACGGCUAACUCCGUGCCAGC
rnacentral:rRNA from 1 species